AGCAGCCGCGGUAAUUCCAGCUCCAAUAGCGUAUAUUAAAGUUGUUGCAGUUAAAAAGCUCGUAGUUGAACUUCGGGGUUCCCCCAUUGGUCAGGCUUAACUGUCUGUACUGGUGGGAGGGAUUCUUACCUUCUGAGGAAUCUCCAUGCCAUUAAUUUGGUGUGGUGGGGAAUCAGGACUAUUACUUUGAAAAAAUUAGAGUGUUUAAAGCAGGCUAACGUCUGAAUACAUUAGCAUGGAAUAAUGAAAUAGGACGGCUUGGUUCUAUUUUGUUGGUUUCUAGGAUCACCGUAAUGAUUAAUAGGGAUAGUUGGGGGCAUUAGUAUUCAAUUGUCAGAGGUGAAAUUCUUGGAUUUAUUGAAGACUAACUACUGCGAAAGCAUUUGCCAAGGAUGUUUUCAUUAAUCAAGAACGAAAGUUAGGGGAUCGAAGACGAUCAGAUACCGUCGUAGUCUUAACCAUAAACUAUGCCGACUAGGGAUCGGACGAAGUUAAUUUUUAAAUGACUCGUUCGGCACCU
rnacentral:rRNA from 1 species